AUGGUCGUGUGCCUCUGCCUCCUCUUCCUCUAUUUCUCGGGCUCCAAUGGGCAGGCUGGGAGCGCGGCACUAGAGUAUGGCACCAAGUUUUCUCGCUCGCUUGGGUGGGGCAGCGAUGGAGAUGGCGACGAUGGCUCAGAGGAGUCGAUUUUUGGGACUGGCGAUGUAAAUGACGUUAAGCUCAAGAGCUUCCCGGUGAGUUCAGGACCAGCAACCAGUUGGUUGUUAACAGUCUAUACAUACAUAUAUGAUGAUAAUUCUAAAGGUUUUUUCUUUUGCUUUGCUCCGAAGGUAUGCGAUGAUCGGCAUUCUGAGCUGAUCCCCUGCUUGGAUAGGAAUUUGAUAUAUCAGAUGAGGUUGAAGCUGGAUCUAAACUUGAUGGAGCAUUAUGAGCGGCAUUGCCCUCCUCCUGAGAGGCGAUUUAAUUGCCUGAUUCCACCGCCACAUGGCUAUAAGGUUCCCAUAAAAUGGCCAAAAAGUCGCGAUAUAGUGUGGAAAGCAAAUAUUCCUCACACUCACCUUGCAAAAGAGAAGUCAGACCAGAACUGGAUGAUUGAUGCAGGCGAAAAAAUUAAGUUUCCAGGUGGCGGAACACAUUUUCAUCAUGGAGCUGACAAAUAUAUAUCAAGCAUUGCAAAUAUGCUAAACUUCAAAGAUAACAUUAUAAACAAUGAGGGAAUGCUUCGUACUGUACUUGAUGUGGGCUGCGGAGUGGCUAGUUUUGGAGGAUAUCUUCUUUCAUCGAAUGUCAUAGCGAUGUCUUUGGCACCAAACGAUGUACAUCAGAACCAGAUCCAAUUUGCUCUUGAAAGGGGGAUCCCUGCUUAUCUUGGUGUUUUGGGAACAAAAAGGCUUCCAUACCCCAGUAGAUCGUUCGAAUUAGCCCACUGUUCUCGUUGCAGGAUUGAUUGGCUUCAGAGAGAUGGAAUUCUUAUGCUUGAACUGGACAGAUUACUCAGGCCUGGAGGUUAUUUUGCUUAUUCAUCUCCUGAGGCAUACGCACAGGAUGAGGAGGACCGUAGAAUCUGGAAAGAAAUGAGUUCCCUUGCAGAAAGGAUGUGCUGGAAAAUUGCAGAGAAAAAAAACCAGACAGUUAUUUGGGUCAAGCCUCUGAACAAUGAUUGCUACAGGAGCCGGCCGCGUGGUACAAAUCCACCUCUAUGCAAAAGUGGUGAUGAUCCAGAUUCAGUAUGGGGAGUGACAAUGGAAGCUUGCAUUACUCCAUAUCCAGAACAAAUGCACAGGGAUGGGGGAAGUGGAUUGGCUCCUUGGCCUGCUCGAUUAACAACCCCACCUCCUCGUCUUGCAGAUUUGUAUGUUACAGCUGACACAUUUGAAAAAGAUACGGAAAUGUGGCAGCAAAGAGUAGACAAUUAUUGGAAUUUAUUGCGCCCAAAGGUAAAACCAGAGAGUAUUAGAAACAUCAUGGACAUGAAAGCAAACUUUGGAUCAUUUGCUGCUGCUCUCAAGGAAAAGGAUGUAUGGGUGAUGAAUGCUGUGUCCCAUGAUGGACCAAACACUCUUAAGAUAAUCUAUGACAGAGGGCUCAUAGGCUCUACACACGACUGGUGUGAGGCAUUCUCUACUUAUCCUCGAACAUAUGAUCUUCUACAUGCGUGGACAGUCUUCACCGACCUUGAGAAAAGAGGUUGCAGUGCUGAAGAUCUGCUCCUUGAAAUGGAUCGUAUACUCAGGCCAACUGGUUUUAUCAUCGUGAGAGACAAGGCCCCUAUCAUUGUAUUCAUCAAGAAGUAUCUCAAUGCACUUCACUGGGAGGCAGUAACCGUUGUGGAUGGUGAGUCCAGUCCGGAAUCUGAGGAGAAUGAAAUGAUACUCAUAAUCCGGAAGAAAUUGUGGCUACCAGAAGCAGGUUCACAGGACUCGACGUAA
rnacentral:rRNA from 1 species